UACAGAGGGGGCAAGCGUUGUUCGGAAUUACUGGGCGUAAAGGGCGCGUAGGCGGCCUGUUAAGUCGAACGUGAAAUCCCUGGGCUCAACCCAGGAACUGCGUCCGAUACUGGCAGGCUUGAAUCCGGGAGAGGGAUGCGGAAUUCCAGGUGUAGCGGUGAAAUGCGUAGAUAUCAGGAGGAACACCGGUGGCGAAGGCGGUUCUCUGGGCAUGUCCUGACGCUGAGGAGCGAAAGUGUGGGUAGCAAACAGG
rnacentral:rRNA from 1 species